AAGCUCUUACAAUACUCUUAAACUUCUAGCAAAAUUCUGAAAAAAAAAAAAUCACCAUAAUGACUAAUUUUCUUUUUUUUUUUUUUUUUUUUGAGAGAUAGGUAGCACGCUACCCACUUCGUUUAUUUCACUUAGAAAUAAACUUAGCUGAAAAUGUGAAUCAACUAGGAUUCGAACUUAAGUCUCGAAUACCAACCACCAACCCUUUUACCAUUUGCUCUAGGAACGGACGGUUAGAAUGACUAAUUUUCAAGGUUUAGAAAUGAAAGGGAGUGAAGGAGAGGGCCGGAGAGUAGUAGGACUAAUUAGAAAGAGGAGA
rnacentral:lncRNA from 1 species